rnacentral:rRNA from 1 species
AGCGAACGCUGGCGGCGUGCCUAACACAUGCAAGUCGAACGUGAAAAGGGAAACCUGAGUAAAGUGGCGUACGGGUGAGUAACGCGUAGGUAAUCUACCCCAGAAUCUGGAAUAACCUGCCGAAAGGCGGGCUAAUACUGGAUAGAGCGAGGGAACUCGUAAGAGAGUUUUUCGGGAAAGGGAGCCCGCAAGGGCCUUCGUUCUGGGAUGAGCCUGCGUCUCAUUAGCUAGUUGGUAAGGUAACGGCUUACCAAGGCGAUGAUGAGUAGCUGGUCUGAGAGGAUGAUCAGCCACACUGGAACUGAAACACGGUCCAGACUCCUACGGGAGGCAGCAGUGGGGAAUCUUGCGCAAUAGACGAAAGUCUGACGCAGCCACGCCGCGUGAGUGAAGAAGGCCUUCGGGUUGUAAAGCUCUGUCGGAUGGGACGAACAUCUUCAUAGUGAAUAGCUAUGAGGACUGACGGUACCAUCAAAGGAAGCACCGACUAACUCCGUG